rnacentral:rRNA from 1 species
UACGUAGGUGGCAAGCGUUAUCCGGAAUUAUUGGGCGUAAAGAGCGCGCAGGUGGUUAAUUAAGUCUGAUGUGAAAGCCCACGGCUUAACCGUGGAGGGUCAUUGGAAACUGGUUAACUUGAGUGCAGAAGAGGGAAGUGGAAUUCCAUGUGUAGCGGUGAAAUGCGUAGAGAUAUGGAGGAACACCAGUGGCGAAGGCGGCUUCUUGGGCCCUACCUGACGCUGAGGCGCGGAAAGCCAGGGGAGCGAACGGG